GAAUACGACACUGCUUAGCAUAGAACAAACCAGCUCUUUAUUACAAUCUAUUUGGGUACAAGGGUUACAUCGGCACGGCGACACUACGCCUGCCACUGUUGCUCUAUGCAAGCAACAGAAUAACUCUAGCAGUGUAACAACGACGAUGGUGGUGAACUCCACUCCGUAGGGACUCUGGCUGGAACGCUUAUCCUAGCUCGCACGAACGGAAACCACGACAAGCAAGCAAUCAACUCCGGCAUGACCUGCAAGCUGGCAUGACAUGCCAAGUCAGUACAUUGAAUGUACUUGCAAGCUCACAACAACCAGAAGCAUUCAAGACAGACAACAGCAUGGCAAUUAUAGGUUAAACAGUAAUUAACAUGAGAUUAUCAGAAUAACAUGGCAUGACCAACAUGAUACAACUAACACAACAUGAACAUAUUAAUCCAACAAUACUAGCAUGCAACAUGAUGACACUAUAUGCACCACUUAUCCUGCUCGGGCUACCUCCUAACCAACACAUGCAUCACUUACCAAUCUAGGACAUCACACGAUUAUCUCAGGAUCAAAUCAAGCUUGGUAUAAACAAUAUCAUAGUGAUCAUCAAAUGAACACAAGGAGCUUGGUCUUUACCCACGAUUCUCGCACAACAUCACGAAUAUCCAACAACUCGGUAUCCUCGAUACCACUGUGAUUCUUACGGCGGUCACAACCACGACCAACACUUGGUCCCAAACCGUGAUCCUUACGGCGAUCACAACCCGACCAAUACAUGGCCCGUGAUCCUUAUGGCGAUCACAACCAAAUUAUCUCAUUGUUAUUAAGCACAUUAUUCUUAUUACUGUUGACUCAUGGUAUACCCUACUUUCUAACUGGUCCCUUAUCCACGGGCGCGGCUAUCGAUAGAUUUAAUAUACACUCUAUUGAGGUUAGUACACUGUACCCACACUACGGAACACAUGGCCUCGCACUCCCAUUCGGGUGGACCAACGGCGUUCUGACAAAACCGUCCUACUGCCAUGACACUCUCCCGGCAACUCCGACUCACUCCCCACUGGGCUAAGUCAUGGGUGGCCCCGUGUCUACCUCAAGACACCUCAAACCACCGUCGUGGCAACGAUCCACUCUGGGACCCAAAAACUUAACUCCUCAACGGGCACACAAGGCUUAUGUCCGCCUACCUGAUUAGGGUAGCGCGCGCCCAUAACCUUCCCUCGUUGGAGGCACCGGCGAGAGGCACGACAAUAGACCCAGUUAGGACUGUCCCAUAUCGUUUAGCGUGGUUGCACUGGUCAGCAUCGUUUCAGCGGCACCAUGACUCAGCCAACAGUUGUUCAAGUUCAAUUUAAUCCGAUUAACUUGAAUGCAAAUGUGUUGAACCAUGAUAAAAUGCAUGAACAUGAUAUCAACAUAAUCAUGAGGGUAUCACAUAACUAUCCAUCAUAUUAACAAUAAAUCAUAUCCACUAAGCAUGGCAUACUGACUAGCAUGAACAUCACCAGUACAUCAACAUGUACUACUAGCAAGCAUAAAUAUAUGAAAGGAAAUACUAGCAUGUAGAACAUGAUAACAGAGUACAAAACAACAUAGCACAAAAGUGAGCAUGCAAAUCUAAACAUUACCGGAACAAUGAUAACCAUCUUUUCAACAAGCAAACAUUUAAUGAAGAUUCAAGUUGAAAACCAUGGCUACUGGAUGACUAUCAUGCAAGUGGGUAUUGUGGCUUGCCUGGGGUGGAAGAAAUCACCGGGGAGAAGUGUCGUGAAGCCGCGGAAAGAUUUGCUAGAGACAGUUCUCUCUCGGAGGGGCUGUUUACGCACAAGGGCAAAAAGGUCGUUUUCACAGUGUCAAACAAUAGUGAAAAUGAAACCAAUAGAACGGGCUCGACAAAACAAAGAAGUGGGCUUUGGAAUCACCUCAUUUGGAGUUACGGAUAAAAAGAUAUGGAGUGUUUUCUGCCAGGGACCUAUCUACAAUGAAAAGAUUUUCAAACAGGGGCCUGGACAGAAAAACAGAAUGCGUAAUAGGGAAAUAUGCUUUCGGAAAGCAAAGACGUAAUCAGAGGAUUACGCCUCCACGUAUCCACGUCAGCGUACCUGGGUCAACACGGGCCCGACGGCUGGGUCACUUAUAGGCGGGGCCCACCGCAUCUUCUCUCUCCUCCUGGCCUCCUUCUUCUUCCUCCUGCCUUGACGCAUCGGGCCGAGUAGGGGAGCUCACCCCGACGAGGCUCGCCGGUGAUCCCGGCCACCAUACGGGGCACGCGACCUACCGACGAGCUCAACAAGACGAGGCGGAUCCAUUCAGCAAGGACAUGGACGCCGAGGAGGAUCGGAGCGACUAGGCCGUGGACUCCGGCGGAGAUGGCCUCGGGUGAGGUUGGGCUACGGGGCUGCGGGGUACUCCGGCGAGGGGCAAGUAGGUGGGGAGGGUCAGGAGGGUCGAGGGGACUCCUCUGGUGGCUACAGAAAGGAGGUGGAGGGUCGGUAUCGAGCCAAUUUAGGCCGAGGCUGACGGCGGGCACGGCGGCCAGGGGAGUCGAGGAGAGCUGCUCGAGCUCAAUGGAGGGGCUGGCCAGGAGUAUAGGAGCGAGACGAAGAGCUUGGGGCGAUCGGGAGGCGUCGGGGCUGCUUAAAUAGCCAAGGGGGAGAGGAAGGCACGCUGGCAUCAUCGUGGACGCGUGGCCGGCGCCACGGAUGCGUGUGCUCACGCAUGGGCUCGGGGGAAGGCGACGACGAGGCACUGGGAGGAGAUCACGAGGUAGAAGGGGUCAAGGGACGCAGGGAGGAAGACGACGGCGACGAACGGAUCCAAAACUCCACUGUACGUCCUUGGGCGCGCGGCGGUUUGCGUCGAUGAGGAAGCUACCGGAGGGGGAGAGGGUUCCAUCGGAGCGGCGACGACAAGAUGCAUCCACUAGACAUGCUCACGGGCUCUAAGACGACAAGUGGGAGCGGUGCCAAAGCACAAACAGUGCUCUGGACACACCACAAUGCACAGAGCGCGCACACAGGCAUGCCAGCUGCGCGGUCACCACACGACAUGGCACAUUAAACGCUCUACAUCACCCAAAACAUUGUCUAGGUGAUAGUCCUUCCAAGAUAGAGCAUUAAUGGGUCAUUGGCUUGAUCUAAGGCACUAUGGUUGCGUUGGAAUGGAGCUCUGAAGUUUACUACAGUAAACUUAGCCAUGCACUGGUGAUCAACAGGGAAUUGCUUGAAGCCAAAUAAGUUGUCUGGGGUGUUUAGCUAGGGAGGGACUAUGAUCCUAGAGGUUUUGAGGGGAAAUGGACCAAGUUUUACUGCAGUUGCUUCACAACUGACCAAAAUGGUCCAAAAACUAGAUCAUGAUGGUGCACUCAAAUGGAGUGUCAACUUGAGCUCAAAUUGGGCAAGGCUUAGUCAUUUGGUCAUAUGAAGAUGCUCACCAAGUAUCAUACCAUUUUGCAAAUCCAAAAUGGUACUUGCUUCACAAACAUCUCUGCUUACCAGAAACUUGAAAUAAUAUUGGUGAUCAAAUGGAUCAAUGAAAUGAUGCCAAAUUGUGUGGAGAGAUGUUUUAUGGGUAUAAGAAUGAUAUGGUAAUUUAUCAGGAUUUUUGAAUCAAUAUAAAAUAUACUUGCUUCACAACCUGAAAAUAUUGCCAGAAACAAAGAUUUGCUCCUGUGCUCACAUAGAUGAUUGGAUGGAUCUGAAAAUGGGUGGAGGGGUUUAAUAUGAGCACAUUAAGGAGUGUGCAAAAGUUCAACUCAUUUGGGUACUCCUAGCUAGUACUUCCUUCACAAAGCUUUCUGUUUGACAGAAACUUUGAAAAAUCACUGAGGAAUAUUGGCUUGGCAAAUAAAGUUGAACUUGUGCAUGAGGAAAUUAUUUGGACAUAUAAACAUUCCAAAAAAGGUUGGGAGCCACUAGGAAAAAUAUAUAUGACACUUUCUUCACAAAAUGCCAUUUAGGGCAGAAACGGAGAAUAAUUAUUGGGGAAUUAUUUCCGAACAUGGCAAUGAAAAGUUUUUCCAUAUUUGUUCAAGAUAUGACCCAAACAAUUUAUGAGAAUUAUUUGGGAAUUUUUGGAGUGAGGGAAAUAUAGGUUGCUUCACAACCUAAGGCAAUUUGAGUUAUUCCUUCAAUAGAAAAGGAAUAUUCCCAAUAAAAAGAAUAUUGGGAUUUGGGCUAGGAUGAAAAUGACAGGGUCUAGGGAAAGAUUUGGGAAUUACGAGCCACUCUAGAAGCAAAGAAGAGGGCAUCUUCUUCAGUUUCCAGACCACAAAGCCACGAAAAAGAAAAACUCAGGCAAAAACCUCGGAAAAACAAAAGAAAAAAGAAAGGGCCAAAAAUCAGGCUGUCACAAACCUUACCCCCUUAAAGAAAUCUCAUCCUCGAGAUUUUUUUGCUCAGGGAACAAGUAUGAAUAUCCUGACUUAAGGAAACCGUUUCCAAUUCGGGUAUCCUUUGCCCUUUAUUGUUGUUCCCACUAAAUUUUUAUCUGACUCGCCCUGGGUGGUUUGCUUUAUUGUGUCCACAUUCUGACAGAUCUUACCUGGCUUGCUCAUGCUUAUAUAGGCUCCAAUUUCUUUUUAGAUCCGCUGACUAGCUGAGUGUGAUUUGAUUAUCAUGACCGAAAUAUAUGUCCGUCUCACAAAUCCAAAAGUGAUUUCCGCUGGGUGUGCCACCCGGCACUGACAACCUUUCAUGUAAUGAUGAUCAAAAUUUUCUGAUGAAAACUCAAGCUCUGACUCAUUGCAUUGGGUCUCUCCACUAAAUGCAAGUCCUUCGGGUUCCAAACAGUGAGUUAAAACAUAACCGUUUCUUGACAGAUUCUGACUCAUCGCAGAAGUUUCUGAAUCAUCUUAACUGGUUCCACUGUCGUGAGUAUCGGAUCCGUACCAAAUAUUGGAUUGUCUCCUGUCGUGGCUAGCAUAAAGGGUUUGGCCUAUAUGUUAAUAUCUGCAGGCUUGACUGACGGUGGUUCUGACGGAAAAAUUUUGUUCAUGACAGGCUAUCCAGGAUGAUUCAUAUAAGUGAGGACUCAGGCUUCCAGACUGUUAUUCCUCAUGCCGAUUACUCAUGUUGUAGGCAUAUCCAUGUGGAUCAAUACUGACUUAGACUGUCCAGGGGAUCUACACCAUGGGGGUCGUGUACAAUUUUCAUUCCUGCCUCACUGGUCUUGCUCCUUCAUUAUUGUUUUCUUGGUCUAGAUCCUUGGCUGAAAGAGCUGGGCCAUAUUGUUUCUUUGUAUAACCGUAGGUACUAUCGGUGCAAUUUUUCGGCAAUUGUAGUUUAUCCUCAUUUUUCUGAUAUGGUAACCCAUUAAAUGGCAGGUUCAACACCUCUCAAGUUCUGAUCGUUGGGAAAUGAUCAUCUGAAACCCUUGCAAGAAAUCGGCAAAUAAGUCAGUAGCCACCAGAGCGGUCUUUACAACUCAGAUCUGGGACAUUACUGAAAUAACUCAACCAUGGCUUGGGACGGCCAACAAACAGCUCAGAGCAUGAGACCGGGUUGAUGAGAAGAAGGUGGCAGCUCCCUAAAAUAGCCAAAAGGCAGCUAUAGGGCUACUGUCACAAAAAGAAACUCAACAGCUGUACGAGACGGCCGAAAAGCAGCUCGGACUCGUGACAGUCGUUGAAGAGAGAAACAAAAAUCAGCAUCCAUCCCGGAUAGCUAGAAACAGCUCAGAUCACAGGCAUGGUGUCGGCAUUGGAGAAAAAAGGGGACAAGGGCUCAUCAGGAUCAUUUUCCAGGUUCACGGGUACUUGUAUUGAGCUCAUUGAUGUCGUCAAUCCUCAUAAUCCUUUGUCACACUGCGGUGUAUACUGGCUUUCUUCUCUUAAUCAUCCUCACGUGGUUAUCAGAUCCGCAUCCAAGUGACUUGUAAGAUCUUGAUGGUAUGCUCAUUGCAUAUAUAUAGGAGGACCUGAUUCCGAGACAGACGUGUAUUCUGUCUGAUUCUUGAUUCUGACCAAAAUGUUGCGGAUCUGAUUCUUGGGAUUCACUGUCAUAUGCUGUCAAUUCACAGUGUACUACCUUGUACCAAUGUCUUACUGAGGAAUAUUUGAUGGCUUGUGCUCGAAACUUUCAUCGGACAGCUUGCUGAAGAAGACUGGAUAUCGUGCUUCAGAAGCUUACCCCCUUAAAGACUUUGCUGGGGAAAGACUCGGUACCUUAUGCCGGAAGCUUUUGCGGUUGCUUACUGAAGAAGAUAGGGUACCUUGCACGGGGAAUCAUCCAUGUAUCGUACUAAGGAAGAUAGAUGAAUCUUGCCUUGGAAACUUCUUUGGUAUCUUGCGAGGGAAAAGUGGGUUGCUUACACCAGAAACUUCUUAUUGUGAUAUGCGGACCGAUUUCCACAUAUACAUACCAUCUUAAUAUUUCUGAUGUUGAUUUCUUGUAUGAAACAGGGUUUUACUGGACUAUCCUCCUUUUUGAGUAUAUGCCAUAUUUUUGCUUGCUUCCAAGUACAUCGAGUUCCAAAAUCAUCCUCAACGAAAAAUUAAACUUGUAUCUGAGCCAUACCUUUGAUAAUAUUCUGUCAACCUUGCACACAAUUUAUCUUCUUGUUGAUUUAAUCAUUUUGUUGUGAUGAGUGCACGCUAAUGCAAACUUGAUACAGACGGUCCAUCCAGGAUUUCUUUUGCAUUCAGAUGAGACAUUCCAAUUUUCAUUGUAGUCAGCUAAUAAUCCCAUUAUGUUUAGCUGAGUUUCCAAAUAUAUGCAUUUCUUGCUGACUCUUCGGGUCCGGUGUCGGCUGACGAGCAACUUUAAUAGGGAAAAACUUUCUAACACCGAAGGCCCAAAGAAAGGAACAAGAAACGACUAAAACAAGAGCACACAAGCAUACUACUAAGAUAAUUAAUCAAACAAUCAUCGCAUAUUACUGCUAGUCACACAAUAUGCAUGCCUACUUAAGCACACAAAUUCCGCGGAAUCUCCGGUACUACGAUCUAGCAUGCUGUGACGAUGUGCACGAGGACGAAUAAUUGUGUGGAAGAAUUGGUGUAAACAGUGCUACACCAAGUGCUAGCUUAGCCAGGUGGCAACCUGAACUAGCUCGAAGGUAAGGACGUACUCGAUAAUCAUGCAGUAGGACACGAAGGUCACAACCACAUCAUUAUCAAGUAGACGGAAAAAGAUUCGUACUCGUCCAAGAAAUAGGAUUGCGGGGAAAAACUAAGGCUGCUGACAUUGCCCUUUCUUGAUAACUAAGAUCAGUAAGGGUUGCCAACACAACAAAAUAAAAGAACGAUCCAGGAUAGAAGCAUGUCCAUCACCGAGACGAUAGACGGGGCUGAAAGAAAGACAUCGGCGCGAUGCCUGAGCACCAUUUUUGCAAACAGUGUUGGGAUCACUUGGCAUCACUCUGCUGGGACAGAACUGACACCAAACACUGAAAGAAAAAGGGACUGGGGAAAUGCAAAGGUUGAGCUGUAGUGGAUCCGAACCGAUGCCAGCUACACUCACCAGAUAAACCGUUAUCACAAAUACUAAGGCUAUAUGCAUGCUAUGCAACACACAAAUGCAACAAACUAACUGGGGUCUAUACUACCGCUUUAUAACGUUCGCGUGGUCUAGGGCGUCCUACAGCCAAACCUGCUCUGAUACCAAGCCUAUGGCACCCCGGCUCAGAGAAAACCGGAACGCCACAUAUUCCAGCCCAAAGAUCAAGAUGAAUUCUUCUGGAAUACGACACUGCUUAGCAUAGAACAAACCAGCUCUUUAUUACAAUCUAUUUGGGUACAAGGGUUACAUCGGCACGGCGACACUACGCCUGCCACUAUUGCUCUAUGCAAGCAGCAGAACAACACGAUGCAGCGGAAUAACUCUAGCAGUGGAACAAUGACAACGGUGGUGAACUCCACUCCGCAGGGACUCUGGCUGGAAUGCUUAUCCUAGCUCGCACGAACGGAAACCAUGACAAGCAAGCAAUCAACUCCGGCAUCACCGCAAGCUGGCAUGACACGCCAGGUCAGUACAUUGAAUGUACUUGCAAGCUCACAACAACUAGAAGCAUUCAAGACAGACACCAGCAUGGCAAUUACAGGUUAAACAGUAAUUAACAUGAGAUUAUCAGUAUAACAUGGCAUGACCAACAUGAUACAACUAACAUAACAUGAACAUAUUAAUCCAACAAUACUAGCAUGCAACAUGAUGACACUAUAUGCACCACUUAUCCUGCUCGGGCUACCUCGUAACCAACACAUGCAUCACUUACCAAUCUCGGACAUCACACGAUCAUCUCAGGAUCAAAUCAAGCUUGGUAUAAACAAUACCGUAGUGAUCAUUAAAUGACCACAAGGAGCUUGGUCUUUACCCACGAUCCUCGCAUAACAUCACGAAUAUCCAACAACUCGUUAUCCUCGAUACCACGGUGAUCCUUACGGCGAUCACAACCACGACCAACACUUGGUCCCAAACCGUGAUCCUUACGGCGAUCACAACCCGACCAAUAUAUGGCCCGUGAUCCUUACGGCGAUCACAACCAAAUUAUCUCAUUGUUAUUAAGCACAUUAUUCUUAUUACUGUUGACUCAUGGUGUACCCUACUUUCGAACUGGGCCCUUAUUCGUGGGCGCGGCUAUUGAUAGAUUUAAUAUACACUCUGCAGAGCUUAGUACACUGUACCCACACUACGGAACCCAUGGCCUCGCACUCCCAUUUGGGUGGACCAACGGCGUUCCGACAAAACCGUCCUACUGCCAUGACACUCUCCCGGCCACUCCGACUCACUCCCCACUGGGCUAAGUCAUGGGUGGCCCCGUGUCUACCUCAAGACACCUCAAACCACCAUCAUGGCAACGAUCCACUCUGGGACCCAAAAACUUAACUACUCAACGGGCACACAAAGCUUAUGUCCGCCUACCUGAUCAGGGUAGCGCGCGCCCAUAACCUUCCCUCAUCAGAGGCACCGACGAGAGGCACGACAAUAGACCCAGUUAGGACCGUCCCAUACCGGUAAGCGUGGUUGCACUGGUCAGCAUCGUUUCAACGGCACCAUGACUCAGCCAACAGGUGUUCAAGUUCAUUUUAAUCCGGUUAACUUGAAUGCAAAUAUGCCGAGCCAUGAUAAAAUGCAUGAACAUGAUAUCAACAUAAUCAUGAGGGUAUCACAUAACUAUCCACCAUAUUAACAAUAAAUCAUAUCCACUAAGCAUGGCAUACUGACUAGCAUGAACAUCACCAGUACAUCAACAUGUACUACUAGCAAGCAUAAAUAUAUGAAAGGAAAUACUAGCAGGUAGAACAUGAUAACAGAGUACAAAACAACAUAGCACAAAAGUGAGCAUGCAAAUCUAAACAUUACCGGAACAACGAUAACCAUCUUUUCAACAAGCAAACAUUUAAUGAAGAUUCAAGUUGAAAACCAUGGCUACUGCAUGACUAUCAUGCAAGUGGGUAUUGUGGCUUGCCUGGGGUGGAAGAAAUCACCGGGGAGAAGUGCAGUGAAGCCGCAGAAAGAUUUGCCGGAAACAGUUCUCUCUCGGAG
rnacentral:lncRNA from 1 species